rnacentral:rRNA from 1 species
UUAAAUUGAGAGUUUGAUCCUGGCUCAGGACGAACGCUGGCGGCGUGCCUAAUACAUGCAAGUCGAACGAAACUUUCUUACACCGAAUGCUUGCAUUCACCGUAAGAAGUUGAGUGGCGGACGGGUGAGUAACACGUGGGUAACCUGCCUAAAAGAAGGGGAUAACACUUGGAAACAGGUGCUAAUACCGUAUAUUUCUAAGGAUCGCAUGAUCCUUAGAUGAAAGAUGGUUCUGCUAUCGCUUUUAGAUGGACCUGCGGCGUAUUAACUAGUUGGUGGGGUAACGGCCUACCAAGGUGAUGAUACGUAGCCGAACUGAGAGGUUGAUCGGCCACAUUGGGACUGAGACACGGCCCAAACUCCUACGGGAGGCAG